GCUCAUGAAGCUCAAUUGGUUGAGCGGAAUAUUGAAGUUAUUUUGGUUGUAAGUUCGAGUCUUACCUUGGGCA
rfam:Ceratocystis platani strain CFO contig_00003 mitochondrial, whole genome shotgun sequence.